rnacentral:tRNA from 1 species
GGGCUGGGUUUUGCUAUGGCCUGCAGACUCAUAAUCUGUUGGUGCCGUGUUCGACUCACGGGCGGCCUACCA